rnacentral:lncRNA from 1 species
UUGCUCUUGUUGCCAGGGCUGUUGCAGACCUCUGUGUUCCAGGAUCGAAGUGGAGUUAAAGUACAUUCUUCUUUGUCGGGUGUACUCUCUCUUCCAGGGCAUUCCUUUCGCGCUCUGUUGGCUUUACAGGAAGUGGGAGCUGCACCUCGCCUCUGUUCGGGUCGGGACACGCCUUCACUCCCGCUCCCCGCCCGAAGCCAAGCUCCAUUCCUAGACCGGGGGUUCCCCGCUGUGUGAGGGCCGGGCUUCGGGGUUUGGACCCAGAGGGGUGACGCGCGUUCGUGAGUUGCAGCGGAAAGCGAGGACAGUGGGUGGAAAAGGCAAAGGACGCAUUUGACAAAUCUGAUUUAUGUCCUCAGACCAAGUCCCCGCAACAGCAGCUGCAAUUGGGUCAUUCCUGUCCAGUCACAAGGCACAUUGUCCGCCUCCUUUGUUGCGGACUGCUUCAUGUGACUGAGCUCUUGAUAUCGGAUGGCAGCAGAAGCCUGAUGCGCCCUUCUGCACUACGCUUUCAAGGAACUAGUCAUUGUAUGCAUUUCCCACAAGCACAGUGACCUUGGAAGCCACACGUUUAAGAUGGCAGAAACUCUGUCCUACCAAGUCCCUGAAUGACUUGGAGUUCAUGGGGCAGAACCCUUCUAAGCUGGAACACCCCUCUGGACCAUUUCGUUAGAAAUUAAAGCUUCUAUUGUGUUUGAAGGAUUAUAUUUUAAGGUCUAUGUUUUAAAAUGAGUAAGUCUACUUUAAUUAGUUAUGAUCUUAAAAAAUUAGAUACUUUAUUUUUCCCCUGGAAGUAGCCUUGAUGUUAUUUAUUUGCUAAUUUAUAAAGCUUUUGUUCUUCUGAAAUAAACCUUUUUUUGGAUAUACUUGGUUUUAAAUCCUGGCUCCACCACUUAGGAGCUAUGUAAUCAGGAUAAUUACCUCUGAGCUUCAGUUCUUUUCUGAGCUUUACAGUUCCAUCUGUAAAAUGGGAUGAUACCUUCUUCAUAGCCUGUUAUGAGACUUAGUGAGAUAAUGCUUAUAAAACACUGCCUGGAACAUAGGAAGACUUCAAUAAACAGUAGCAGUUUUUAUUGUAAUAAGAAUAAUUUUUAUUUAAAGUUUAUUUAU